UCUUAGAAUAGAAAAAUUAUAUUCUGCAUCACGUAUACUAACAUGACUGUGCACCUCAUCACGCUUAUCAUUGAGACAUAUUCUUAUGAGCCAAUCAUCAAGAUGAGUACAAGAUGAAUGAGAUCAAUAGAAAUAUAUAUCGAUAAUUGACAUGGUGAAUAGCUAUCUGGUGUAUGUAGUGCACAAUAUAUUAUUUCUCCCUAAAACAUGCGGAUCUUCUGUAGUGCACUGCACGGUGCAAUGCACUGCGAUGGACAGUGCACGCGCACGAUGGACAGCAUGCGUGAUGCACCGCAUAGUGUGGUAC
rnacentral:lncRNA from 1 species